UGGGGAAUUUUGGACAAUGGACGCAAGUCUGAUCCAGCCAUGCCGCGUGCGGGAAGAAGGCCUUCGGGUUGUAAACCGCUUUUGUCAGGGAAGAAACGAGUUUCUCUAAUACAGAGACUUAAUGACGGUACCUGAAGAAUAAGCACCGGCUAACUACGUGCCAGCAGCCGCGGUAAUACGUAGGGUGCAUGCGUUAAUCGGAAUUACUGGGCGUAAAGCGUGCGCAGGCGGUGAUGUAAGACAGAUGUGAAAUCCCCGGGCUCAACCUGGGACCUGCAUUUGUGACUGCAUAGCUAGAGUACGGUAGAGGGGGAUGGAAUUCCGCGUGUAGCAGUGAAAUGCGUAGAUAUGCGGAGGAACACCGAUGGUGAAGGCAAUCCCCUGGACCUGUACUGACGCUCAUGCACGAAAGCGUGGGGAGCAAACA
rnacentral:rRNA from 1 species